rnacentral:rRNA from 1 species
AACGAACGCUGGCGGCAUGCCUAACACAUGCAAGUCGAACGACACCUUCGGGUCUAGUGGCGCACGGGUGCGUAACGCGUGGGAACCUGCCCUUAGGUUCGGAAUACCUCCCCGAAAGGGGUGCUAAUACCGGAUAAUUUCUUCGGACCAAAGAUUUAUCGCCUUUGGAUGGGCCCGCGUUGGAUUAGCUAGUUGGUAGGGUAAAAGCCUACCAAGGCGACGAUCCAUAGCUGGUCUGAGAGGAUGAUCAGCCACACUGGGACUGAGACACGGCCCAGAAUCCUACGGGAGGCAGCAGUGGGGAAUAUUGGAAAAUGGGCGAAAGCAUGAUCCAGUAAUGCCGCGUGAGUGAUGAAGGCCUGAGGGUUGUAAAGCUCGUUUACCCGGGAUGAUAAUGACAGUACCGGGAGAAUAAGCUCCGGCUAACUCCGUG